GCAGGUGUGGAUCACCAUGGCUAUCACAUCCUUCUCAUUUCCAGGAAAGAGCCACCCACAAGGAUUUCAGUGAUUGGAGUUUGCUUUGGUCCUCAGGCUUUCAUAGACACACAUCGCCUCUACCUGCAGGCAAAGUUGUUCAUGGUCAACCUGCGACCAUGUUCCUCGUACGGAGAAUAAUGUCAUCAUUAAUGACAGUCACCUUGCUGUAUAAUAGAGGUCUUAAAGUUUCUUUUACCAGCCUAGCUAUAAGUAUUUCACCUGUCUACCGUUAAUCAUGAUUCAGUUCAACUCAGGAAAUGACUCUCAAGUCUGGCUCUGUUUUGAAGAUCAGAAUUUGCUUUUCUUGCCUUCACACAAUUUUAUGGUACAGUUUCUUG